GCGCCCAUGGCUCAAUUGGAUAGAGCAUCUGACUACGGAUCAGAGGGUUGGGGGUUCGAAUCCCUCUGGGCGUGCCA
rnacentral:tRNA from 2 species